CUAUACAUGACUCUGCGCAUAUCAAUAAGCGGAGGAAAAGAAACUAACAAGGAUUCCCUAGUAACGGCGAGUGAAGCGGGAAGAGCUCAAAUUUGAAAUCUUCAAGGUUUUACCUUGACGAAUUGUAGUUUAUAGAAGUGUUUUCUGUUAGUAGAGUGGUAAAAGUUCUUUGGAAUAGGACAUCAUAGAGGGUGAGAAUCCCGUAUUUGAUCACUUUCUACUAACGUUGUGAUACACUUUCAACGAGUCGGAUUGUUUGGGAAUGCAGGUCCAAAAUGGGUGGUAAAUUUCAUCUAAAGCUAAAUAUUGGCGAGAGACCGAUAGCGAACAAGUACCGUGAGGGAAAGAUGAAAAGAACUUUGAAAGGAGAGUUAAACAGUACGUGAAAUUGUCAAAAGGGAAGCGUUUGACACCAGUGUUGUUUUUCCGAAAAUCAAUUACUGAAUGGUUUGAUUUUGAGAGUUAUGACCUUCAAGCUGCUUGCUUCUCUCUUUACUGUACUUUCGUAAUGCACCUUUUCGGUUAACAAGUCAACAUCAAUUUCUUUGUUGUAAAAGGGUACGAGGAAGGUGGCUUUACUUUCGAGUAAAGUGUUUAUAGCCUUGUAGCCUCUGCAAUCGGAGAGAUUGAGGUCUGCAGCGUAGAUCCUUCGGGGUUAGAUACAGUUUGUGCUAAGUUAUAGCUUUUCAUAGACAACUUGUUGACUAUGUUUAGUCUUGUAGCUUACUCGCUUAUGCUAUUUUACCUACGCUUAGGAUGUUGAUAUGCAUGACUGAUAU
rnacentral:rRNA from 1 species